UCCUUUUAAAGAGGCAAGAUAAAGCUAGA
rnacentral:piRNA from 1 species